rnacentral:lncRNA from 1 species
AGGGGUUUGCAUGCAGUGGCCUUGCUAACCUACAGCAGGCCCUGGAGAGACACAGAAUGAACUGUGUGUGCAUUAAUCUUCCAAGAGCCUCAGCCUUUAAAGAUGGAAAAAGCACAGAAAGAGGACAGAGAAAGGAACUCACAGGUAGGCAGACUUUCCCACUGUGUAACCCUGAGCAAUUCACUAACUACCCAAGAGCACCAUUAAUAUCAAAUGAGAUAAUGCAUGCAAAUUGCCUAGCACUGUAACUGGCACAUGGACAUGCCCAUAGUGAGAGUCUAGUGUAUUUUAUUCUUACGUGGUAUUUCACUUUUUACCCCAUUCAAUGUGCCAAAUCAUUAAGUGCAUUUUCCAGGUACAGACACCUUCCAACCAACAUAUAGCUCAUUGACUAUGGGGUCCCAGAGAUCAGAGAGUUUCCCACAUUCCUGUUCUUCAUUCUCCUACCUGCACUUACUCCUCAUAGUAAACAAACUAGGUUGGUGCUACUCUGACCAUUGUACAGAUGAGAAACUGAGGUUCACAGUAACAGAUGUGGUUGCCCAUGAUCUAAUGGCUAGUGAGUGACUGAGCCAAGAUUAAAACCCAGCUGUGCAGGACUCAGAGUCCAAUACCACCAUGAAGGUCACAGUUAAAGCAAAUAACCCACAGAAUUCUCAUUAGUAUGAUCUAUCUCUCCCUCAAGUCUGGAGGUAAAUACAAGCUGGAGUCAAGAUCUUCCUCUCCGUCAGUCACCCAGCAUAGAACCUGGAUUCUGCACCAAGAGCACACCUGGUAAACGCCUGUUGAAUGGAGUUCCCACAGGAACCUUUUGAAAACCCUGCUACCUUUCUGUCCUCUUCCAAUUCUCCCAGCUCCUGUG